rnacentral:sRNA from 1 species
UUGUUGUCAAACAUGGUCUAAAUUAAAACGAUACAGAAAAAAUUAGCAUGGGCUUGUGCAAGAAUGAAAUGCACAAAUCAAAAAAUAGGAAAACCAUC